UACGAAGGGGGCUAGCGUUGCUCGGAAUCACUGGGCGUAAAGCGCACGUAGGCGGCUUUCUAAGUCAGGGGUGAAAUCCUGGAGCUCAACUCCAGAACUGCCUUUGAUACUGGAGAGCUUGAGUCCGGAAGAGGUGAGUGGAACUCCGAGUGUAGAGGUGAAAUUCGUAGAUAUUCGGAAGAACACCAGUGGCGAAGGCGGCUCACUGGUCCGGUACUGACGCUGAGGUGCGAAAGCGUGGGGAGCAAACAUG
rnacentral:rRNA from 1 species